AACGUUAGCGUUUGCGAGACAGUCAGUCGAGAGCAGCAGACGUCAAUUUGAACGUCUGCCGAUAGGUCAGGUCUUUUUAUCUAGUGGAAAAAAAAGAGAAACAUUUUGAUGGAUGUGCUGUCGCUGAUUAAAAGAUGAAGAGACCAGACAGGCAUUAUUUGCUUUUUUUUUUUACCUUUAUUUUCUUUUUUCGCCUUUUCUAACCCUCGUGUAAAGUCUUGGAUAUCGACUCGGACCCUUCUGCUUCCAUUCCAUACGUAAGAGAGAUAUUUUCGCAUUUCGCUCGAAAAUUACCCGUGAUUAGGCAUUCCAUCCUCAAACGAGACACAAUUUAUGUGACAAUCCUUUAUAUCACCCGACACUAAAAUAGCUGUUCUCUGAAGGAUUUGCUUCAGCAUGAAACUAAUCAAAGAAAAGUGCAAGGACAAAAAGAACUCUGAGCCGAUGCUUACUCCAGACGAAGCUGGUGUUAUCUAGCAGGAGAUCGCAUUUUCCCAUCCUCCAAACUCUGUCUUAAAUAACAAUGUGUAAAGAAGAUUGCAGCUAUGUCAUAAGGACGUGCCCGUUGUACGAACAUACAACUGUUCAUCCUCGCAAUUUCGAGUCUACGAACAAAAGAAGUUAAAGGUUAAGUGCAGAGAAUAUAUAUCAAUAAAGAAGUUCAUCCAAUUCAAUCAUAGUUUAUUGGAAUAUAACUAUGAUUUAAUUGACAAGCUACCCUGUAUAUCCAUCACUCCAAAAAGUAAACAUAGGGUCUUGCUUAGACGUCAUGGGACAGAGUGCAGUGGGAACAGAAGAUCUUCUCCAUAAUUGAAGUUGGGAAAUCCAUCAGAAUUCGACACCUUCUGCAAUCUCAGGGGGGUGACAGAGCAUUAAUUACCGUACGGAAGUCCUGUGCCAUCUACUUCCUUACCUCUCACGAGACAAUAUGGCGUCCAACCAAUGAAUAAAUCACUGGCAUCGUGCGAGUAUAUAGGUGAUCGUUCAACUGUCAUCUCCUAUCGGUUAGAGAUUUUGAACAGUAAUCUCCCCGAACAGAAAUGGAUUAAAUUUCGUGAAACCGUUACGAGUUUUCUUCUUGGUGGUGAUGACCUCUCGGAUGAGUUAUUCAGCCAGCAAUUUACAGAACUUUCUACUCAAGCGAGGACCAAUAUGUAAGUAAAAACUUUCUGCUUUUGGCACUGUAAAGAUUUGGCUGACUAGAAUGUUUCUCUACUUAACAUGUAAGACGUUAGACCAAUGAACAACGUAAUGCUAUUAUCUGUGCUGAGUCAACAACAUUCUGGAUCGUGAUCACCAUAGCAACAGGUCUGGUUGGCUCCACCAGCGAAUUAACAGUUUGUAUUUCCCUUGUUCUGUUAUUAGUAGUCUGCUUCAUUCGCUAUCAUUCGCUUUUACGACUUCUUUUUUUUUCUUUUUAAUUUUACUAACUAACUUAAAUUAAUUCGAUCUUAUCAAAUUGCCUCAAAUUUCUAUUAGGUCUAAAAUAAAUUAAAUGUUUUCCAGUUUCGACUCCUAUACUAAUGUAAAAGUUAACUUUUCCAGUCGAAAAAUUGUUAAAGUGGAUUUUAAAAAUAUAUUUAUCUUUAAUUUAAUUGAAAUUUUAAGUCCAUUGUUAAGAUUCUCUUCGUAGAAGAGAGAUUUUUCGAAUAGGAAACAAGAGAAGUCAUUUUCAAAAUCAUCAUUUUACAGGCCAAGGAUAGGUUAAGAUAACAACAGUUAACGUAAAGGCCAAGGAUGAAGUUAAAAACUCUAUUGUUAAUGUAAAGGCCACAGAUGAAAGGCAGAUAAAACAAUUCUUUAAAUAGCUGUUAAGUUAAUUUUUUUUUUAUUGUUAGUUCUAAGAUAACUUUUAAUCCUCGCUAUAAGCUAACUUCUUUAAUCCCUGGCUUUAAUCCGUAAAUCCAUUGUUAAGAUUCUCUUCGCGGAUCUUUAAGAAAAGAAAUUUUUCGUCUAGAAAAAUAAGAGAAACAGUCGAUAAAAAAACCCAGUUAGUUUAAAAAAUACAUUAAAAAUUAAUUGGAUAAAAAUUAAUUUUUUAAUAGCUGUAAGCUGAUUUUUAAUCUCUAGAUAUUAUAACAUUUUUAAUCCCUCGCUUUAAUCUUUAAAUCCAUUGUUAAGAUUCUUUUGUGAUCUUUGAGAGGAAAGAUGUAGGCUGCUUUACAAAGCUUUGGUUUCUCAUAUUGUUGUUGGUAUUAUCCGAUUUCGAUUUUAAAUGUUAGAAAAUGAAAAAUAUUGAAGAAAACGAAUAUAUAUAUUUUUUAUUUUAUCACGAAAUAUUUAGUUAAUUAAACUUUUUUAAAUGGAAAAAUUAAAUUCUAAAAAUUCCAUCAUGAGCGAUAAAAAAUAGCGUUGAUGCGUGAUUAAAAUAAAGUAUAGGUUAGCUGAGGGUAAACAAGCUUUUUUAUCUUUAAGGUAGAAGUAGAGUUAAUAGUAAACGAAGAGAGAAAAUGUAGUUAACCCACGAACAAAGAUAAAAGUUUAGUUAAGCCGAAAGGCCACAGAAAAGUAUUAAAGCCAAAACAGAGCUUAAUAUUACUUAAAACCAAAAGUGCAGCUUAGAAAUCUUAAUUUUCGAGAGGCAAUUAAGUCUAAUUAAAGGAUAAAGGCUAAAUUAAAUAAAGAUUAAAAUACGAUUAAAUUAUUUAUGCAAGAUGCCACAUCCUCGGUUGCACAAAGGCCAACCAAACUAUUAUUCACACUUCAGAAUAUAUUUGGUCUUAAACCGUAAUCGAAAGCUCUAACUAAAGCUACCUGUCAUAAAUAAUACCAUGUUUUUUUCAUCUUUCCUCAAAAAUUUUCCAUUUUCCACAAUUUUCUUUAUCACGAAAACAACUCGAAAAGAUUUAAAUAAAUUUCUCCUCUUUCACUAAAACUUUCCACUCAACCAAUAUAAAUUUUCCUCGAAUUCAGCUGUAUAUCUAUCACAACAAACAAUACAAUAAAUACACUUAAGAAGGGGGAUACUCUCUUCUCCAUCUUCAAAAACUCCGCAUUUUCUAUUAAAAUUUAUGACGUUUCGUACUUAAGCUGGUGAUUAAUUACGUGUUUAUUUUCUUCACGUCGUACAUUUUCAUGGAAUAAUAAUUGAUUGUUGUGCCAUUAUAGAACAUGUGAGAACCAUUUCUGUUGCCCUUAAUGUGUUUGGUCUCCUUGGUUACUAUCUGUUGAAAAGGCUAGUCUCCUUUGCAAUUACCACUGCAUUAGACACUGUAACUCCUUUGUACUUUGACGUUCAUGAUUGCUGACUUAUUGAUCAAUCGAUAAGUCCAGAUACCCAGAAGUGGUUCCUAGAAUCUUACAGGCAGACCGCUGCCAACAGACUAAACUGUCACGAAUGAAUUACGUCAAGUUCACGACAUUGAAUUAUAUUGAAUUCGCCUCGCGUGAGUCUCGACAGGUGGAAAGGAAGAUUCUACACCUUAUUCCUCCUAAUGUAAAUUGCAUAAUAGGCAUACAACAUUAUACUGAUAUGUAUAAUAUCACUUUGUAAUGGCUCCAGACAAUUAUGCCUUUAAAAAAUUCUUUUUAUAUCGGUUUUAUUUAUUUAUGUUAAGUUACCGAACUUACAUCUUGCGUGGACAUUAACUACAACCCUCGAGGUUAGGUUAAUGGAUAAAAAAGAAACUUUUUCUGUGUCUAGCAAUUUUUUAAACUCAUUCCUCUGUUUAUAAAAGGGAUUUUUAGAUCUGUGUUUCCCCUUCGUUUCUUAAAAAAAAUCGUUAAGAAAUGCUAUUUUCACUGCACGCUACUCGUGCUGUGCAAAAUAGCCCCCUAACCAUUAUCAACUGGGAGUCUCCAUAGCAACGUAUAGGCUAGAUUGGAGAACAAUACGACAGAACCGUCUAAUGUCUUUGCAGAUAUUUACUUAAAGGGAAGAAGAAGAUGUGUUAUUUGAAGAAAUAUGACUUCACUAGACUGAUGUUUAAUCUUCGGCAGUUAAUUUGUCCACGAAGUUUUAGUUUAACGGGGGAAGAACGAGAGAUGUUAUUACGUUUUCAAUCAAUAAGGUUUCCCUUUUUUCUCUCUAAUUGCUAUAGAUAUGAGGAGGCAACACGAAUUUUUUGUCAGAACUUCGAUAAGAGAUAUAGACUAAGUUUAUGUAUAAAUAAAAAAUUUCUUAUUACAAGAAAACUAAAUUGAUAAUUGGAAUUCGUCCGAAUCUCUCGUUAAAAUCUUGUGGUUAAGUUUUAUCUACACUCAUAUGUGAAUUCUCUUCUCGAUAUGACUUCGAAAUAAUUAACAAUGCUAUUAUAAUUCAUGUUAUAUGACAGAAAAGAUUUCUUGCCAACUUAUAUACUGGAAUUUCCAUAAAUUUUUCAUUAAAAUCUCUUAGUUCAGUUAUAUUUUAUGGUCGCAGGCAGCACCUCUUUUCAGCUUCGAUAUGCCGUGUAAUCUUGUCGUGAUCACGUUGUUUGCAAGAAAAAAUUGUCUUAAUAGUAGAAAAAUAGAUAAUAAAUUAGAAUUUUGAAAAUUUUUCAUUAAAUCUUUCAUAAAUAAUCUCAAGUCAGGCAAUGAAUUUCAUUAAUAUUGAUGUAGUUAUUAGAUACCAUAUAUAAUAAGGAAAGGGCUAUUACAAGAAAACUAGAUUAUAGAUAUCGACCCCAUAUUAAUCUAGUUUUCUAGAUAAAUAGAUAUCCAUAAAUCAGAAUUCAGGAGAGGCUCUUGAAAACUUUUUACAUUAAAACUAAACACUACCCUCGUAUCUUAUCGAUGUUGUUAAAUAAAGUAAUCACAAUCUAACUCAAAUACAGGUUACAUUAAGAGAUUUUAAUGGAGAAUUUUAUCUAAUUCUAAUAUAAAAUGUAUUUUAAUUCUUCCUGAUGUAAAAAGAAAAAUAUAUUUCGAGUCAGAAUUAAGUGGAAUCUUUCAUUAAAAUCUCUUAAUUUUAUCUUUAUCUGAGGUCGGAUUGUGGUUUUCAUUCUGAGUCAGCAGAGACGUGACCGUGACAUUUCCAAUAAUCGCGCUUAACCUUAUUACAUGGAAAGAAAAUCGGAAGAAAAGCGUAUUUUAAUCAUUACUUAACCAAAUUUCUAACUAAAUUAUCCUAUUUAAGAUUAAAACAAGCGUAGUUAGGUAAUGAUUCCUCUUCAAAGUUGGCAUCUUAGUCCCAAUACGGAUAAGAAAAGCAUGUUUUUGUAAAAGGAAAUUAGAUUUUGUAUUCAGAAUUCGAUGGAAUAUUUCAUUAAAAUCUCUUAUACAAGUCUGUAGGAGCGGUCAGAGACAGCAUUUGUUCCAAGUCGGCAACGAUGUGACCAUCGAUGUAGCCAAUAAUCGUAUUGUAAUCCCAUUACUGCUUUCAUCGUCCACACAACACUGCGGUUGUGUAAACAGUUCGGCCACAAUGACGUUGUCUCGGGAGACUACAUCUUUUAUUUUACUCUUCGCUACUCACACGAUCGCUACUUGUUCACUAGAAAAUCGACUUUAGGUCGAUACCGUCUGGAUGUGAAUAAAUUGCACUCUUGUGAUCAGAAAUUUUGCUGCUCAGGGAAGCAAUGCUUCAUAUGGCUUUCCGUCUCAAUCAAAUUUAUGUCGUAAUGCUCCUUUAACUUUUAAUUUCUGUCAAGAUUUUAUGAUUUCCGGGUCGAGUGAUCCUCUAUAAAUAUAUAAAAAUUCCUUGCUGCUUCCAACUACUCUCAAGUUCCUAACAAUUCCAAAAAGUCGUCGUCGUCGUCGAGAUAUUGAGAAAUAAAUUCUUUUAAUCUACUUCAGAAACAUAAUCCUCAUCGUUUAUAAGCGUAUACUUUUAGAAAGAACGAAAAAAAAAUUGAUAAUUAGAAACAAUUUACAUUUAUAUUGUUAUCGAUUUUGCAAUUUUCCUGAUUAUUCUGUUUGUGUUUGGUCUAAUGAUGGAAUUUAUAUUUUCGCUUUACUAAAUUACCUUCUACUAAAAGUUUUAAUUCGUUAUAUGAUAAACAUUUUCAUCAUUGAAACUUUCAAAUUUCAAACUGCACCUGCCAAUUAUAUAUACAAAAAAACAAUUGAUAAAUACCGUUAUAACAUUCAAAUUAUAAAUAAUUUAACACUUCUAAUUUACAAGUUAACAAACUUCUUGAAAAAUUACAAACUUGUUUAAUUAACGUGUCUUAAUUUAAACAGUUCUUAAAAUUCAUUUCUAAUAUAAUCUCAAGGCUUAUAAAAGAAGAAAAACUAUUUUUCUUCUUAUUUUCUAGUAUAUGAUAACAAAUGUUUUAAUUAUUUAAGCCUAGAAAAGCAUUUCUAUUGUUGGUUUCUAGUAUAUAAUAAGAAUAUUCUCAUAAAAUGGAUCAGUAAAGUCAUUUCCUGUAGUGGAACACGAAGACUAGACCCCAUUUUGUCUUUAUUAUUUCUUAUUUUAAUGCACCACAAUAUAACAAUUUAAUCCUGAUUUUUUGAUAUAUCCAAAAAUAAUUCAUUACGCGUCAAAUAUUAGAAGAAAAGUCACAAUUUUUAACAACUAAUUCUCUGUUAUUUUGGUAUAAAUUUAUUGAUAAAGUAUAAAUAAAAUAAUUACAUUUUUAUAAAACAGAUGUUCCAUCUUUUGUUGCCGGUUACAGUGGAUUUAAUAGAAGAAAUUUUCCAUUAUUCUAAAUUUGAUGCACUGCUAAACACAACGAAUAUCCAUCUUGUAUAUUCUGAUUUCGACGCAUUUAAACAUAAAGGAAAUCACUACAUAAAAGUUUUUUCUUACAUAAAAAAAAAACUGAUCACUGUAUUCCAACAAACGGAAUUCUGUCAUGGAAUACAAGAUUUC